CGGGGAGUGGCUCAGCCUGGUAGAGCACAGCGUUCGGGACGCUGGGGUCGCAAGUUCGAAUCUUGUCUCCCCGACCA
rnacentral:tRNA from 1 species